GCCGGUUUGGCGCAGUGGUAGUCGCGUCUCACUUGUACCUUCCAAGGUUCAGAUAUGAGAAGGUCAUUCGUUCAAUCCGGGUAUUCGGCA
rfam:Hypholoma sublateritium FD-334 SS-4 unplaced genomic scaffold scaffold_75, whole genome shotgun sequence.